rnacentral:rRNA from 1 species
AUGAACGCUGGCGGCGUGCCUCAUACAUGCAAGUCGAGCGAACAGACGAGGAGCUUGCUCCUCUGACGUUAGCGGCGGACGGGUGAGUAACACGUGGAUAACCUACCUAUAAGACUGGGAUAACUUCGGGAAACCGGAGCUAAUACCGGAUAAUAUAUUGAACCGCAUGGUUCAAUAGUGAAAGACGGUUUUGCUGUCACUUAUAGAUGGAUCCGCGCCGCAUUAGCUAGUUGGUAAGGUAACGGCUUACCAAGGCAACGAUGCGUAGCCGACCUGAGAGGGUGAUCGGCCACACUGGAACUGAGACACGGUCCAGACUCCUACGGGAGGCAGCAGUAGGGAAUCUUCCGCAAUGGGCGAAAGCCUGACGGAGCAACGCCGCGUGAGUGAUGAAGGUCUUCGGAUCGUAAAACUCUGUUAUUAGAGAAGAACAAAUGUGUAAGUAACUAUGCACGUCUUGACGGUACCUAAUCAGAAAGCCACGGCUAACUACGUG